CGUCAGAUAGCUCAGUUGGUAGAGCACCUGAUUAGAGAUUCAGGGACUGGGUUUGAAUCCUGGUCUGUCAU
rnacentral:tRNA from 1 species